UACGGAGGGUACUAGCGUUUUUCGGAAUUACUGGGCGUAAAGCGCACGUAGGCGGAUUUGUUAGUCAGGGGUGAAAUCCCGAGGCUCAACCUCGGAACUGCCUUUGAUACUGCAAAUCUCGAGUCCGGAAGAGGUGAGUGGAAUUCCUAGUGUAGAGGUGAAAUUCGUAGAUAUUAGGAAGAACACCAGUGGCGAAGGCGGCUCACUGGUCCGGUACUGACGCUGAGGUGCGAAAGCGUGGGGAGCAAACAGG
rnacentral:rRNA from 1 species